GUACCGGAUUGGCACGUAGGCAAGUGCUAAUCCUGGUCGGACAUCAGGAGGU
rnacentral:rRNA from 1 species